UCUAUUACUAAUCUCUUUAUGCGUAUUUUUUUCUCAUCUUAAAUAAUGUAGGCCUCUUUUCACAAUUUAUAUCAACUUAUAGCAUUAGAUCUUUGUAAGAUUGGUCCAUUUGAUGUACGUAUAUAAACCAUACAUAUACAUAGAUUCACUUGUUUGCUUCAUUCUUUGAUCUUUAUCCUAUACAUGUAGUUCUGAUACUGGUCCAUUUGACUUUUGUGGUUACUGUGUGCAACAGGAUGGGGAACAAAUGAGAAGUUGAUCAUAUCAAUUUUGGCUCAUAGAAAUGCUGCUCAACGCAAGUUGAUUCAACAGACUUAUGCUGAGACUUUUGGUGAAGAUAUCCUUAAAGAGUUGGACAGAGAACUUACCAAUGAUUUGAGAAAUUGAUGGCAGUGUGGACAUUGAAUCCUUCAGAGCCAAUGAGUUGGACAGAGAACUUACCAAUGAUUUUGAGGUUAUUUCCUUAAGAUAAUAACGUGAACAAGUUUUAAUAAAACCUUAGAUUUGUUUGAAUACUUAGUUGAUCAGUUGAGUUUCUGAGUACGUUACUGUGAUCAAAGGCGCAGAUUUCUUUUGAUCUGUUGAAACUAACCCAUGCUUGUGGCUUGAAUUAUGUAUACACAUGUUAGAAAAUAACAACCGUACUUAUUCUGAAUCCACUAAUUCUAGAUCCUCGAUACAUCCUUGACCGGGAUCAUAGCUGGAUAUUGAUGAAAAGGCUAACACUUAUAUUUUUCUCUCAGAAAUUGGUGGUAGUGUGGACAUUGGAUCCUUCAGAGCGCGAUGCCUAUUUGGCUAAGG
rnacentral:lncRNA from 1 species